rnacentral:rRNA from 1 species
GACGAACCUUGCAAACGUUAUUCGGAAUCACUGGGCUUAAAGGGUGCGUAGGCGGUGCGGAAAGUUGGGUGUGAAAUCCCUCAGCUUAACUGAGGAACUGCGCUCAAAACUGCCGUGCUAGAGGGAGAUAGAGGUGAGCGGAACUUAGGGUGGAGCGGUGAAAUGCGUUGAUAUCCUAAGGAACACCGGUGGCGAAAGCGGCUCACUGGAUCUCUUCUGACGCUGAGGCACGAAAGCUAGGGGAGCGAACGGG